rnacentral:tRNA from 1 species
UGGGGUAUAGUCAAGUGGUAAGACAUCAGUCUCUGAAACUGCUACGCACUGGUUCGAAUCCAGUUACCCCAGCCA